ACUGUGUACAAAAGGAGCAGGUGUCAGGAAUCCGGCUAUGUGGUCUAGGAGGGCAAACUGUGAGCAGGGCACAAAUAAAGGGACAUUCCACCCUGAGGGUUACCCUGCCUUUCUAGCUCAGUACCAACACUGCUUCAAACAGGAGGUGAUGGAAGGCCCCUGCUGUGUACAUGCAAAAGGCCACAGAGGUCAGCAGAGUUGUUAAGUAGCAUUCAACAAUACUCUUCUAUAGCCACAGGACCAAUAAGCACCAUGGCAGGUGGCCACCAGGUCAGUGUUGGCUUAAUCAUGGCUCCAAGCCCAUGUUUCUUCAGACAUUUAACACCGAUUACAACUUCAAAGAGCGUCACAUGAAAUUAACAAGUUUAGGAGCAACAGAGAUAAAUCUUGGUGGAUAAAGAUGCCCAAACCAAAAUUAGAAGUACCUGGCCAUGAACUCCACCAGCCGCUGAUAGAAAAAACGACCUGCAAAGAGAGAGAGUAAUUUCAUCCAGACACUGGUGCCCAAGAGCACUUUUUGUACUUAGGUCUCCUUACUUGGAAUGAUAAAAACCAUUUUGGAAAAAAAGGAACAAGGAGUCUGAUAUACCUGGGUCUGAACACAGGCUCUGCCACUUACAGCCUGUGCAGUUUCAGGUAAGUCAUUAAUUUCCCCAGCUCAGGUUCCUAAUCCAUGUGCUGGAGACCUAACAGUACCUACCUCAUAGGGCUGUGGGGAAAAUUCAGAGAAACCAUGAGCAUGAGGACAAUGUCCGACAGAGUAAACAUCCCCUAUACCUACUGAUAUCAUCAGGACAUAAAACUAAAUUUCCGGUUGGGCUACGAAGUAGAACCCUCCUAGAAAAUAUUUUAAAAGAUUGACAAUCAUGAAAAGUUUGUUUAUAAAGCCAGACUUUAGAAAAUGGCUAUAACUUUACAGUUGGUAAGUCAGAGACAGCCUGCCAUUAUGUGUCCUUGCACACCUCGUGGGACAGAGAAGCCUCCCAUUCAGAGGACUGCUGAUCCUACCUUCGUGUUCUUGGUAAAACUUCUGGCAAUCUUCUUUUCUCCACAGAAGUUCUCUCAUUCGUACAAUAAGGAACUUGUUGCUCAGAAUCUGCUGAUGAACAGCCUGGAUAAACACCACGUCAAAGAUAAAAAUCAGUCAAAGGGAUGGGGUGCCUGGGUGGCUCAGUUGGUUAAAUGUCUGACUUCAGCUCAGGUCAUGAUCUCACGGUUCAUGAGUUCAAGUCCCACAUCAGAUGAGCUUGAGCCCCACUUCAGAUGGAGGGAGCUGUGGGAUGAGGAAUGUGAGUGGUCUCUAAAAACUGAGAGCAGUCUUCGCCUGAAGGCCAGCAAGAACAUGGGGACCUCAGUCUUAGAACCAUAGGAACCAAAUGCUGCCAACAACCUGAAUGACUUUGGAUGUGGAUUCUUCCCCAGACCCUCCAGAUAAGGAUCUGGCCUGCUGAUACCUUGACUUUGGCCUCGUGAGACCCUGAGGAAAAACUCAGCUGAACCUGCUGCACCUCUAAAUUCUAGAAUUGCGAAAUAAUAAAUGUUUUAAGCUGCUAAA